ACGAAACCACGUGUAACAUACUCGUGGAUCGGGUAACCUAGAACGAAGACGCAUCGCGUGGAUGUUGGCCCGCUAUGCGACGAUGACCGAUGAUGAUGAUGAUGAUGAUGAUGAUGAUAUGAUGAUGAUGUCGAUGUCGACGACGACGACGAUGAAGACGAUGUGUAGCAACGAUUCGUAACUAGUCUAGCCGAAGUUCGUUCAGAGGGGAACGCCGCCGGCUUCGAAGCCUCGAUGUCGUGAGUCGGACACCCGUGCCGUCGCUAGAAGUUUUUCAAACUCUGCUUCUGGAUAUUGGGACGAAAGACCGCUCGAGGACGACGACAGCCGUGCGUGCGUAUCCCAUCGAAUUUUUUUUACACCACCUGAACGAGACUAAAGUUUCGUCUAGUUGAUCGUCUACCGUCGCAUAAUGUAUAUUAUAUACCGUUCAGAGGGGACCGGCUGUCUAUCCUCGUUGUCGUGAGUCGGACACCCGUGCCGUCGCUAGAGUUUUUCAAACUCUGCUUCUGGAUAUCGGGACGAAAGACCGCGCGAGGACGACGGAUGCGAGUCCCAUCGAAUUUUUGACUUACACACUACCUGAACGAGACUUAAAGUUUCAUAUUAUAUACCGUUCAGAGGGGACCGGCUGUCUAUCCUCGUUGUCGUGAGUCGGACACCCGUGCCGUCGCUAGAGUUUUUCAAACUCUGCUUCUGGAUAUCGGGACGAAAGACCGCGCGAGGACGACGGAUGCGAGUCCCAUCGAAUUUUUGACUUACACACUACCUGAACGAGACUUAAAGUUUCAUAUAAUAUACCGUUCAGAGGGGACCGGCUGUCUUUCCUCGUUGUCGUGAGUCGGACACCCGUGCCGUCGCUAGAGUUUUUCAAACUCUGCUUCUGGAUAUCGGGACGAAAGACCGCGCGAGGACGACGGAUGCGAGUCCCAUCGAAUUUUUUAUUUAAACACUACCUGAACGAGACUUAAAGUUUCAUAUAAUAUACCGUUCAGAGGGGACCGGCUGUCUUUCCUCGUUGUCGUGAGUCGGACACCCGUGCCGUCGCUAGAGUUUUUCAAACUCUGCUUCUGGAUAUCGGGACGAAAGACCGCGCGAGGACGACGGAUGCGAGUCCCAUCGAAUUUUUUAUUUAAA